rnacentral:rRNA from 1 species
UACGUAGGGUCCGAGCGUUGUCCGGAAUUACUGGGCGUAAAGAGCUCGUAGGUGGUUUGUCGCGUUGUUCGUGAAAACUCACAGCUUAACUGUGGGCGUGCGGGCGAUACGGGCAGACUUGAGUACUGCAGGGGAGACUGGAAUUCCUGGUGUAGCGGUGGAAUGCGCAGAUAUCAGGAGGAACACCUGAGGCGAAGGCGGCUUGCUGGGCAUGAUCUGACGCUGAGGCGCGAAAGCGUGGGGAGCAAACAGG